rnacentral:rRNA from 1 species
UACGUAGGGUGCAAGCGUUGUCCGGAAUUAUUGGGCGUAAAGAGCUCGUAGGCGGUCUGUCGCGUCGGAUGUGAAAACCCAGGGCUCAACCCUGGGCCUGCAUUCGAUACGGGCAGACUAGAGUUCGGUAGGGGAGACUGGAAUUCCUGGUGUAGCGGUGAAAUGCGCAGAUAUCAGGAGGAACACCGGUGGCGAAGGCGGGUCUCUGGGCCGAUACUGACACUGAGGAGCGAAAGCGUGGGGAGCGAACAGG